rnacentral:rRNA from 1 species
AUUGAACGCUGGCGGCAGGCCUAACACAUGCAAGUCGAGCGGAGCGGCGGACGGGUGCGUAAUGCCUAGGAAUCUGCCUGGUAGUGGGGGAUAACGUCCGGAAACGGGCGCUAAUACCGCUUACUAUCAGAUUAGCCUAGGUCGGAUUAGCUAGUUGGUGGUGUAACGGCGUACCAAGGCGACGAGCCGUAACUGGUCUGAGAGGAGGAUCAGGCACAAUGGAACUGAGAAACGGUACAGACGCAUAAGGGAGGCAGAAGGGGGGAAGAUUGGACAAUGGGCGAAAGAGUGAUCCAGCCAUGCCGCGGGUGUGAAGAAGGUCUUCGGGUUGUAAAGCAAUUUAAGUGGGGAGGCGUUACCAGCAGAAGAAGCACCGGCUAACUUCGUGCCAGAAGCAGCGGUAAUAC